CUGUGGGAUAAAAUGGUAAAGUUGGAGCAAAGAAUGAGAGGAGGAGGUGCAGGGUCUAUCGUCCAAUAAAAACGCUCGGCGCUAGUUUUGACCGUGUGUUUUUUCCUCACGCAAGCGUUUGUAUCACAUCGGCGUAUGGCGCCAAUUUGUAAAGGUCAUAAGUCGAGACAUACAUCGAGUCUGUCAAUUUGUCCGGCAGUAAAUUCUGCAGGGCCGUGCCACCUGGCCAUCGAGGCGCCCCCCUACCCGGCCACGCGGGCCAUACAUCGAGUCUGACACUUUUGCCCUCCAGUAAAUUCUGUUUAAAGUUUUGUUUUCACAUACGUCCCAAAUUACAGAUAAUUUUCUUACACAGGCACGAGUAGCAUCAUCAAGGCCGUACCACCUGGUCAUACAUCAAGUCUGACAAUUUCCCCGCCAGUAAAUUCUGUUUAUAGUUUUGUUUGUCAUACAUGACCGUGCAGAUAUGGGGUGACAGAGACAAUUAAAUUGUAUUACGUCGAGCGGGGGGCCUUUUCCUCCUCCUAGAGGCACAACGCCUUACCAAAGUUUGUACCAGCCAAAGAACCACAAGUUUCAUCGAGACCUUACCCGGUAAGUAUAUUAUUUCUUUUAUUCCUGUUAUAAAAAUGCUAUUCAAUUAAAAAUAACAUUCUAAUAAUAGGUAUUCUCUGUUUUUUCUAUGUACAAGAGAGAGAGACUGCGCUGACCGGUCAAGAGAAAAUCUACAAGAGACCUGAAUCAGCAGUGUUAUAAAGCACAUAGCCAACGCUAAUUAAUAAAGAAUUUAAGCAUAAUAGCCCAGACGCCCAUGGCCUAUAGCUGGUAGAAACGGAGCUAUCCUACGGCCUACAAGAUAAAAGCAUAUGGCACCAAAUUGGAAUCAGUAGUCUUUAAAAGAAUAAAUGGACUAGCAACUGUCUCUGGGGGAGCAGCCCCGGUUAGGUACUAUUAAGCAGCAUUUAGUGACAUGCAUCAAAACACAUUUUUUAAAACUUUGACAGAAUAAAGUCUUAGUUAUUUUAAUAAAUAUGUUUUUCAGUAAAUGUUUAUUCACGCGCAUGCGGACAAACACACACCCCGGAGGUCAAACUAAAAAAAAGUUGAUACAAACUACAGUUGUAUCGGACACGCACACAAAAACACGAGAGUUUGCUCAAUCAAAAAACACCAAACAUAUAUAGUUCACGUUUUUUUAUUAAAAUGUAUAAGGAUUGUUUUCUUAUAGCGAAAUUUUAAAUUAAUAUGAGUGGGAUAUAAGUCAUUUAGGCAACAGGAUUUGAGGAAGAACCUAAAUAGCAGCUAGAAAUGACCGACCAGGCAGGCAGAAGUCUGCUUUUCUUAUCUCACAAGUCAUGGAAGGGUGGGAGGGGGGCCACAUAAGUGUGGGGUAGGAACUGUGGAAUCAGGCAGGGGUGCAAGAAUUUAGGAUAUAGUCUUGUUAUUUUAAAGAAGGUGUACAUGAUUAUUUAAUUACAUUUAAUAGGAACCAGUAAGCUGCAUUUAGCACCAUGCUGCAAAUACACAUAAAAAAAACUUUAAAGAAUAAGGUCUUAGUUAUUUUAAUAAAGACAUCCUACAAGGUACCCACGGCCCCAGCUUAUAUAAUCUACAAGCUUGAUCUGAGAUGCUUGCUGGAGUACAAUGCUAAGUUGACAACGGUAACGGAGCUGCAUAUUGUUUGAUAGUUAUGAAACAUAGUUCAAAUUCAACAGUGUCAGCAGUCAUCCACUAUGCAGGGAGACUACAGAUUGACUAUAACGACCCCAUUUAUCUGCUGGAAUUAUUUAAAAAAAAAAAUUGACAUAAUAAAGCCUUAGUUAUUUUAAUAAA